rnacentral:lncRNA from 1 species
GUGCACAACCCAGACAACAACAAGAAGCUGAACUGAGGCCGCUGCCACGGCCUGCAUUGUUGCACACAGCGUCUGCUCCCAUCCGCAAAACCUGACACAGUAACCACUCUCAGGGAUCCUGCCCCAAAUGCUGUCGGAGCACCAACGUCCCUGAGGAAACCAGUUGCCUAUCCCAGUAUCCUUGGUUCCAUAGAGCAUCAGGGGCCGCCAGGAACUCUCCAAGAUCCUUUUUUUCAAAAUAGAAACCUAAAUAGAAAAAAAGACAACAACAAACCACACCUAGCCAUGAAGCCUACCAGAGUCUUCACGCCACUGGCAAGCCAGUGCUAAGCAGUCACCCC